GACGUAGGGCGCAAGCGUUGUCCGGAUUUAUUGGGCGUAAAGAGCUCGUAGGCGGCUUGUCGCGUCGUCCGUGAAAACUUGGGGCUCAACCCCAAGCUUGCGGUCGAUACGGGCAGGCUAGAGUUCGGUAGGGGAGACUGGAAUUCCUGGUGUAGCGGUGAAAUGCGCAGAUAUCAGGAGGAACACCGGUGGCGAAGGCGGAUCUCUGGGCCUUACCUGACGCUCAGGUGCGAAAGCUAGGGGAGCGAACAGG
rnacentral:rRNA from 1 species